UUAAUUUUACUACUAUAUAAACACCAAGAAGUUAACUUUUCGAUUAUGUUAUAUUGGACAAGGAUUAUACUACUUGCCGUAUUUGUUUAAUUGUAACGUUAUAUCUUGGACCAGUCAUUUCAUUUUUGAAAAUGUUAAAGAUUCUUCUUAUUGGUGUAUUUUGGACUGUCACUUUAUUUCUGCAAACUGCAGUGAUUAAAGGUGCAGAGGGAGUAAAAGUAACGAAGAAAUGCGUGGACAAAUUUGAAGAGCUGAAACUUUACCAUCAAUAUCAUUACAUAACAUUCAAGCUAGACCAUCAGAUGCAAAACAUUGUUGUGGACAAGACAUUAGACCGAGGACUUUGUGAUUCAGACGUUGCGUACAAACGGUUCCUCCAAGAGUUAGUAGAGACAGCUGAUUGUCGAUACGCUGUUUUUGAUGUUCAGUGGGAACACAAGCUCGUAAAGAAGAACACUAUCGUAUUCUUUUCAUGGUGUCCCGAAGACAGCCCUUUUCGCCACAAGAUGGUAUAUAGUUCAAGCAAAGGCUAUUUAAAGAAAGCGCUAAAACUCGCUACAGAAGUACAGGGAACAACCAUUAAUGAUUUCGAUUAUGAUAUAGUAAAAGCCAUUAUCAUUCGAUACACACAAUUUUAAUGUUAUGAAUUUAAUAAUUCACUCUUAUAACAGACUUAAAUUGUUUUUCGAAGACUCUAUUUGUAAAUUUAGACAUGAGAAAUACCAACUUUUGUCUUAAAGGAAGUUGUAAGGAAGACAACUCAAUAUUUUUAGCGACUUUAAUUAAGUGUCCUGUCAAUCAAUGUCAGCUUUUGGUACGUGUUUCAAUGGUCUGUACAAAGUGUGAAUCAUUUGCUUAUGUUUGAGUAUGUAUUCAUCAUCAGUUUUGAUAGUUUUGACUGAUCAAUGUUUUUAAAGUUGUAAACUAUAUUAAUUUUUAAAGUUAUAAACUAUAUUAAUCACAACAUAAUCCUCCCUAUAAUCUUAACAAUUUUUUUUAUCCCCAGUAAUAUUAUACAGUUUUUGUUAUUGGUCGCAGGAAUUGAGCAAAAUUCAGGUCCAGAUCAGAGUAAUAAAAAGAAUUUGAAAAUAGUACACAAUGAUGUGUUUAGUUUACUUCCUAAGUUAGACCUCGUUAACAAUGAAGUACAUGAGUAUGACAUUAUUUGUAUAUCAGAAUCUCAUCCCGACAAGCCAAUUAAUGAUGACCAAAUUAAAUUAAAUGGGUUUCAUAAACCUAAAUGGUUAGAUAGAAAUAGACAUGGUGGAGGUGUGACCAUUUUUGUGAAAAAUAGUCUACAUUGUAUUAUACGGAAUGACCUAUCCGUAAGCAAUCUUGAGUUACUUUGGAUUAAAGUGAGGAAUUGUAACAAUGACAAAUUUUUAGUUCUCAUAUAUGGGACUUAUUUAGUGAGUCAGUAGAUAAAGCACUUGAUUGUAAUUUGUCACUUUUCCUUUGUGGUGAUUUUAAUUGCGGUAUGUUGUCAAGCACAAGUAACUCUUUCAAAAAGUUACUUAACCGUUUAAAUUUAGAAAAUGUUGUUUGGGAGUCUACCAACUUUACAACCCAAACUGGAACUUGUAUUGAUUUAUGUGUGACAAAUCGCAAAAACUUAAUUAAAUCAGUAACUGUUCUUACUCCGAUAUGCAGUUCUCAUUCUCCUGUUUCAGUUGAAAUUUCAUUUAGAACUUUUAAACAACACUCGUUUAAAAGACAAAUUCGAAAUUUCAAACGUGCAGAUUAUGAGGGUCUUAAAAACCAGUUGAUCGAAACUGACGGGGAUGAUGUAGUUUUUAACUCAAAUAAUAUAAAUGAUGUUUAUAUGAACUUUGUCAAACAUUUGAAAGUAAUGUCAAUAGAUAUAUAACUACUAAAACUAUUACAGUACGACCAAAUGAUAAACCGUUUAUCAACAACUUAAUUAGAAACAAGAUAAGACAUCGUAAUAGAAUUCACCAUAAAGCGAAAACUUCAAAUGUACAGAUCACUGGAAAAAAUGUUGAGAAAUUCGUAAUGAAAUUAUUAGUUUAGUUAGAAAGACAAAAGAUGACUUUAAGUGCAAACUGACAUCACAACUUAUUAAUAAAAAAUAUUCCUCCUGGUAAAUGGUGGCCCAAGUCGGUGUCAAAUUUCACAAAAACAGAGAUUCACCCCCUUUUGUAGAAUAUGAUGGCCAAAUUUGUAUUCAUCCAUUGCACAAAUCAGAGAUCCUGAACAACCAUUUUGCAAAUAUAGUUAAUAUUGAUACGGAACCAGAAAUUCCUGAUAAUAACGAGCCUCCUCCAUGUCAUUUAAACAAAUUCGUCAUCACUGAGAAAGAAAUUUUAGACCAGUUAAAAAUUUUGAAUAUAAAUAAAUCAGCUGGACCUGACGGUAUCAGUCCUAGAAUUUUAAAAGAGGUUGCUAGCUUUAUUUCUAAACCAUUAACUAAAUUAUUUAAUAUGUCUCUUUCAGCUAAACAGGUUCCAUUGUUAUGGAAAAUUGCACAUGUUAAUCCUAUUUUCAAAGGAAAAGGUAGUCCACAUUCAGCUCUUAACUAACGUCCAAUUUCUGUUACUAGUAUUGUUUGUAAGGUUAUGGUAAAGGUUCUUUUUAAACACUUGUAUAAUUAUACGAGGAGUAAUAACCUUUUGUCAAAGUGUCAAUCUGGAUUCCAGCCAGGUGACUCUAUUUUAAUAAGUUAAUUGAAAUAUAACAUAAAAUUAUCAGUAAUAUGGAUGUAAGGUUUGUAUUUUGUGAUGUAUCUAUGGCUUUUGACACAAAGGACUUUUAUUUAAACUUUAACAAUCUGGCUUAAAUGAUCAGCUCUUAUCUUGGAUAGAAAGUUAUCUUUCAGAUCGUCAACAAACGGUAGUUUCAGAAGGUUUUUCAUCAACUCUUAGAAGUAUACAUAAAGGUGUCCCUCAGUGAUAAUUGUUGGGACCCUUUCUGUUUCUCAUUUAUAUGAAUGAUAUAGUAAAUGACAUUGUUAAUGAUAUUAGACUUUUUGCAGAUGACACCUCUUUAUAUGUUAUAGUAGAUGAUGAUCAUGCUGUAGCAGCUGCUUCUUUGACUGAUGACUUAGAUGUUAUCUCAAAUUGGGCAAAAUCAUGGGCUGUUCAAUUAACUCAAAGAAAACAAAAAAUAUUGUAUUUACUAGAAGGGACAGGGAGCAUCCGCCUGUAUUUUUUGGGAUAAAUGGUGAAGAGGUUGAGAAAAUAAAUAUUCACUGUCAUCUUGGGAUAACAUUUCAGUCAUCAACUUCAUGGAACACACAUAUUGAUAAUAUUUAUAAAAAUGCAUGCUCUCGUUUAUCUGUGCCUCGACAAGUUAAACAUUUAUUAGACAGGAAUUCACUUAUACGUAUUUACUAUGCUUUUAUUACACCUAUAUUAGAGUGUGGAUAUGUUGUUUGGGCCAAUUGCUCCCAGCACGAGUCCGAGCUUCUUGCAAAUAUUCAAAUAGAAGCUGCUAAAGUUAUUACUGGCCUACGGCGUAAUUCCUCAAGACAAAAACUUUAUAUUGAAGUAGGAUUAGAAACUCUGGAGUAUAGACUAAAUAAACAUAAGCUUAUACUGUUUUAUAAAAUAUUAAAUGGGAUGACACCUGCAUACUUAUAUGAGUUAGUCCAGCCAUAUUUUCCGAGACAAACCCCUUAUACUUUGAGGAAUGAAAAUAAUACUGUUCACCCUCCUCUUGCUAGAACUAACUCUUACUUUAAUAGUUUCAUUCCCACUAUAAGACUUUGGAAUAGUCUUCCUCUAAGUAUACACAAAUCCCCAAGUUUGUGUAUAUUUAGCUGGAUAAGUUUUAUAGGACUGAUGAAAUAUUUAAACCUCUCAAUUAUGGGAUAAGGAAACAUAACAUAAGUCAUUGUCAACUCAGAAAUAAUGCUAGCAACCUAAAAUCUCAUUUGUUUAAUCAAUUUUUAUCAGAGAACACUAUUUGUGCAAACUGUAAUCACCCUGUUGUGGAUAACAAGCAUUUCUUAUUAUUUGCCCUAAGUAAAAUGAUGUAAGACAGAUUUUACUUUAUUCCAUUUACUCAAGUGUUGAUAAUGUUGACAUAAAUAUUGAUUUAUUACUCUUUGGAAACAGAUUAUUUUCAUAUGAUAUGAAUAUUGCUAUUUUUAAAUCUGUUCAGAAAUAUAUCAGUGACACUCACCGUUUUGUUUGAAAUUUUCUUAAUUUUUAUUUUAUUUAGUGUUUUUUUUUUCAUUUCUUUCCUUUCUUUUUCCCCUUCAACAUUAAUACAUUUAUUCCACUAAGUAAGCUUAGUGUCUCUUCCAAACAUUAAAUAUAUAUUUCUAAUGAAUUAUAGAGGAUAUUUACAUGUCUCAAGGUACAUGUACUUGAAUAAAUGAUGAUUAAUUGCCUACAUAUACUUUACAUUUAGUAAUUAACACAGUGACUGUAAAUAUAUAUUUGCUUGUGUGUGCUCAUAAGUAGCAUGUAUUUUCCACUAUAUAAUAUUAUUUUAAAUACAGUUGUUAAUAUUUGAUUUAUACCGUGUACAUGUAAUAUGGAGAGAGCUUUUAUAUGCUGUGCCUGUUGCUCAAUCCUUUUCAUAUCUUAAUGAAUAAAAUAUGUUUAAAAUCAAAUUAUGGUGGUACAUAACACUACAGGGAGAUAACUCUGUAAAAAUCAGCUGAACGUUUUAAUCACGUUCUAUUGUUAAGGAAAUAUUAAGCUUCUCAAUGAUCAAAAUUAGUGUUUUUCAAACUGCUAUAUAUCCAAUGAAAUUUUUCCGAUAAAGUGUGGUUCAAGUUUGUUGAAAUUUUUAUAUUUUUGUCAAAGGGUCAAAGUAAAUAUUUUGUCAAAAUUUUAUGAAAAUUAAACGAGCCAAAUUAAUUUUAGUCAAGGUGUUUGGUACCACCUUAAGAUACGGAAAAAAUUUCCGAAAUCAAGUUCAAUAAUCCAUCCCUCAAUUCCCAUACGUGAUUUACAUUUUUGUAUUUAUUCGUGUUUUGGAAAGACAGUCUUAUCGCAUUAUUAUAUAAAUCUAUGGAAGAUUCAUGCUUUUUGUAAAAAACAUAUUAGUACAAGUCAAACAAUUUUGAUAUAAUAACUAAUUUAAAUAUUUGCUCUUAUAACAGAUUGGAAUUGUCUUUCUUAUAUACAUGGGAAAUAUCAACGUUUAUUUAAAAAGAAUUUGUAAGAACGACAAUUCAAAAUUAUUUAGAGUUCAAUUAAGAUACGGAAGAAAUUUCUGAAAUCACAUUUUUGUAUUCCUUCGUGUUUUGGAAAGACAGUCUUAUUGUAUUAUUACAUUAAUCUAUGGGAGAUUCAUGUUUUAUCUUGUUGUUACAUUCAUAUAACGUCGUUUUAUUAAAAACACCAUUGAAUGUUUAUGUUUUGUAAAUCUUGACGCUUUCAAUAAAAUUUAACAAGUAGUAAAACAGCUCGCGUUUUAAGAUUGUUUUUUAUUAUUAUCAUUAUUAUUGUAAUAAUUUUUGUCUUU